CCAGCUUGGUGGGGCAGACGAUGCAGCAUGAGCCCGGCGGGCAGCCCAGAGCUCAACCCAGCAGGGUGAUCAUGGCCUCCGUGAUCACCCCCAUCCCCAUACCCCGUCCUGGCCUCUGGGGGACCUGGCAGAGCAGGCUUGGGCCUGGCGUUCCCAAGCGGGCUGUGGGUGGCAAUAGUUACCGGAUGAGGUCCAACAGGGCAUCGGCUGAGCUCAUGAUGGGCUUCCCACUCUGCUCCGUGGUCUCCUUCUGGGCCGCGCUGCCUGGGUGGAUGAUGGAGACCAUGAAGAUGCCCACGAUGACAGCCAUGAAGGUGGUCCACAGGUAGUACGCCACGGUGAGGACGCCCAGGCGGCUGGAGGUCUUGGCAUCCAGGGAGGCAAGUCCGGACAUCAAGCUGGGAGGGCGAGGGGGUCAGGGGCUGUGGUGGGAAUGCCAGGGCCUGGUCGAGCACUCAGCGCUCACUCAGCCCCUCCUGGCCAUGCCCAGCUGCCUCACAGUGCUCCAGGGAACCCCGUUCUUCCAACAAUCCAGUCCUGUGCUCCUUCCAGCCUCUCUUUCUGCUCUGCCCUCUCCCCCACACCCCAGGGUGCAGGCCACGCACGUCUGCGCCUUGAGACCUCUGCACUGCUAGGCAGAGAGCCCAGGCCAGGGUGGCUGUGGGACGGUUGGGAUGCUGUGGGGGGAGUGAGAGAUUAAUUAAGGAAAUGCGUGUUCUUUGCUUUGUUGCCCCAAGUUUCCCAUGCUUGGUGUCCUCUCAGAAGCUUCCUUCACUCUCCUGACUCCUGCCCACUAGGCAGGACCAAGCUUGGGCUACCUCUGAGGUCUACCUGCCUCUCCCCCAGAGCGAGGAGCCCAUUCUAGGACCCCCACAGCCCCUGGCUGCUCCAUCAGGACCCUGCCUGUCUGUUUGUGAGAGGAGGGACGAGUCUGACUUCCCUGUGGGUCCCGAGAGGACGGCACUGCAGGCGGGCUGGGGGCUGGUGACCCGGGUGCUAGUCCCAGCUCUACCAACUGGCUGUGUGGCCUCAGGCAAGCAAGUCACUCCCUCCCCCAUCUUUGGGCCUCAGGAUCUCCAUCUGUAAAAUGGGGACAUCUUGAGUUUGUGCCUGGGCCCAGGCUCCUUGUCAUAGGGGGCUGUGUUGAGAGGGCUGUGGGUCUCUCCCCUCUCGGCUCCUCCCCACUCCUAGCCACCCUGGCCUGGGCUUUCUGCCUACCAGUGCAGAUCAGCCCCAGAGUACUGGAGCCCCGGAGCCCCGGUGCCCCAGAGCGACUCUUCUUGCAGCUGUUGUGGGGGGUGUGGGAUGGUGGGGGGUGUGGGCGGAGUGAGAGAUUAAUUAAGGAAAUGCUUGUGCUUUGCUUUGUUGCCGAAACGAUUUUUCCCCAAAGCCCUUUCAUUCUUUCAGAUAAAGAAGUAUUUGUCUGGUUUUAAUCAUGUAAACAAGAGCAGAUAAUCCCCAGCCACGCUCCUCUUAUCAUUAGAUUCCACGCAGCAGCAUCCAGCCCCAGGCUGAGCAUGAACACCGGCCCCCUCCCCCAGCGGGAGCCACCGCCUGGGAGGGCCCUGCCCUGCCUGCUCACUGGCGCAAUGGCUUACUCUUCUGAUUGAGCCUGUCUUCUUGUGUGAUGGAGAAGACACCUCCUGGAGGACCCAGCAGCCUCAGAAGCCAUCAUCUCUCUGGGACUUUACUGUUCCCCGGACACCUGAACACCCAGCUCACUGGAUCCUUAAACAACCUUCUGAGUGAAGCACUGUGGAGUUCCACUGCGAGCCACAUUUGUAAUUUAGAAUUUUCUAGUAGUCACAUUAAAAAGUAAAAAG
rnacentral:antisense_RNA from 1 species